AAAAAAAAUGCAUAGAAAAUAGAUUUUAAAAAAAUAUAGGCAUUGUGCAUUAAAUCAGCUUUUAUUGUUCAUAAUAUAUUGCCCAGAAACAGGCUUAAUUAAAAUACAUUAGAAAUAUAACAAAGCGGCUUUAAUUGUUUAUAACAUAUUGCUUAGGAACAGGCCUAAUUAAAAAUAUAAAUAUAACCUUUAAUUGAAAUAUCGAUUACAAGUGGCAACUCGUCAAUUGCUUUCGCAAAAGGUUCGCAUCAUUUGGACUAAAAUCUCAAAUCUCAAAUCAAAACGCUUGCAAAAA